AGAGUUUGAUCAUGGCUCAGGAUGAACGCUGGCGGCGUGCUUAACACAUGCAAGUCGAACGAUUAAAGCCCCUUCGGGGGUGUAUAGAGUGGCGAACGGGUGAGUAACACGUGGGCAAUCUGCCCCUCACUUCGGGAUAACUCAGGGAAACUUGAGCUAAUACCGGAUACUCCGAACUGAUCGCAUGGUCGGUUCGGGAAAGCUCCGACGGUGAGGGAUGAGCCCGCGGCCCAUUAGCUUGUUGGUAGGGUAACGGCCUACCAAGGCGACGAUGGGUAGCCGCGCUGAGAGGCGGAUCGGCCACACUGGGACUGAGACACGGCCCAGACUCCUACGGGAGGCAGCAGUGGGGAAUUUUGCGCAAUGGGCGAAAGCCUGACGCAGCAACGCCGCGUGCGGGAUGAAGGCUCUCGGGUCGUAAACCGCUUUCAGCAGGGAUGAAAUUGACAGUACCUGCAGAAGAAGCCCCGGCUAAAUACGUGCCAGCAGCCGCGGUAAUACGUAUGGGGCAAGCGUUAUCCGGAUUCAUUGGGCGUAAAGAGCGCGUAGGCGGAUUGUUAAGCGAGAUGUGAAAACCGGGGGCUCAACCCGCGGCCUGCAUCUCGAACUGGCAGUCUUGAGUCUGGUAGAGGAAAGUGGAAUUCCCAGUGUAGCGGUGAAAUGCGCAGAUAUUGGGAGGAACACCAGUGGCGAAGGCGGCUUUCUGGGCCACGACUGACGCUGAGGCGCGAAAGCUAGGGGAGCAAACAGGAUUAGAUACCCUGGUAGUCCUAGCCGUAAACGAUGGGCACUAGGUGUGGGGGGUCAUCAACUCCCUCCGUGCCGCAGCUAACGCAUUAAGUGCCCCGCCUGGGGAGUACGGCCGCAAGGCUAAAACUCAAAGGAAUUG
rnacentral:rRNA from 1 species